GACGAACGCUGGCGGCGUGCUUAACACAUGCAAGUCGAGCGGUAAGGCCCUUUCGGGGGUACACGAGCGGCGAACGGGUGAGUAACACGUGGGUAACCGUGCCCUGUACCCUGGGAUAAGCCUUGGAAACGAGGCCUAAUACCGGAUAUGACCUGCUCUCGCAUGGGGGUGGGUGGAAAGUUUUGGCGGUGCAGGAUGGACCCGCGGCCUAUCAGCUUGUUGGUGGGGUGAUGGCCUACCAAGGCGACGACGGGUAGCCGGCCUGAGAGGGCGACCGGCCACACUGGGACUGAGACACGGCCCAGACUCCUACGGGAGGCAGCAGUGGGAAUAUUGCACAAUGGGCGAAAGCCUGAUGCAGCGACGCCGCGUGAGGGAUG
rnacentral:rRNA from 1 species